rnacentral:lncRNA from 1 species
CAGCGGCCCUUGCAGACUCCAGGCUGCUGGCCGUUGAAGUCAUAAAGCAGGCAUUGUUUGACGGGGUGGCUGGAAGCAGGGCUGUCUCAAGUUGAGCUAUGACAACCGACAAGACUGUGGAAAACAGUCAACAAAUUGCAACCAUCCUCCAGAGACUUCCCGAAUUCCCUCGGAGAUUACCUUCUUGAGAACAAAACAAAUGUCUACAACAAAAAAAGUCUUCAUCCUCAAGCAGUCUUACUCAAUGACGCUGGGCUGUAAUCGCUUUGCUUGAUGCGGGCUACUGCAUGAUGCGAUUGUCCUUACAUGAGGACACUAAAGCUGAGAGAGGGGAGCUGCUGGCCAACCAUCAGCCAGCCACGUGUGACAGCGCUGGGACUUGAGCUCUGCAUGAGAUUCCAAACUCUGUUUCCAGCUAAAAACUGCAUCUCCUUUUCCAAAGUGGCUGAAGAUGACUACAUGACACAAUUUGGGACAACCUCACAUAAGCAGAAAUCACUGGAUAGACUCUUAGGAAUGAUCCUUAACAAGUGGACUUCGCUAGCCAGUACCUGUCCCCCCACUUUCCUUUACUUAUUUGCUUGUCUGGAAUGCAGACAUAAUGGUUGAGAUUGGAGCACCUUGUGACCACAAGGAUAAUAACAAGAUACUCACAAAGACUUCAUCCCCAACAUCCUUGAGUCAAUAAGCCAAGGCCAAAAAUACCUACUCUUGAACUUCUUGUUAUGUGAGAAAAAAAAUAAACCCCUAACUUGUUUAAGCUACCAUUAUACUGAUUUUCUGCUAUGUGCCGCUAAGCUCAAUCUCUAAGUGACACAGUCAUCAAAAGGAAGCAAAGCAUAGUGUAAAAGUCUUAGACUUCUAGUGUAAGACCUCUUCAUUGGUCUUCUGGCCCCACUUCUUCCCUAUCAAGUCUCCACAUUUUAGCCAGCGUCGUCUUUCCAAUGCCUUGUUUAAAACCCUUCAGCAGACUUUCUCUGCCCUGAAGAUUAAGUCCCAAACCCUUGUUGUAAUUAAAAGUCCCUCCUGGAUCUGGCCCCUGCCCACAUCCGCAUCCUCGUCACUCGUCUCUUUGCCUCUCUCGUUUCCAGCCACACCCAUCUUCUUGCUACUCCAAUGCACUACAUGGUCCUUUGGCUUUACCUUCUGAUAUACUGUUCUUCUGCUUGCAGCAUUCUCCCCAUCACGAUCCCCUCUUUGAAUAUCAAAAUAAAUGGAACACUACUUACAGAUCUCUAAGACUGGCUUCUUUCGU